GUGCAGAUGGACAUUAAUGCCAUCACUGGAGAGGAAGAAAGAGGAGGGAGAGAAGACAAGCAAGGAAGACAUCUAUUGAGGGGGAAAAUGACAUAAAUCAUCACAAAUGGAAAUCAGUUAAUGGACGAGAGAAGCUGAUCUGGAUACCAAGGGAUACUAUUGUAUGUAAAGUGAAAUCUUAGGCUCAUGAAAAUUAAAUUUUAUGUUUUUGUUUUA